CACGAGAAACACCAAGAAGGUAUGGAACUUCUGUGAUAGGAAACAGCAUGGAGCUCCUGCAAUGAGAUGAAAACAGAAACUCCGGGUGCAGGAGGGUUUGCUGCGCACUGCUCUUGCCUCAGCACUGAGACUGUCAGUGGUGUUAACUUGAAGGCACAACAACAAAACUCAUUUCACAUAGAUCAUUGAACAUCAGACAUUAAAAAUUCUUCUGUCCCCGCCUCCAGAUGGAACCUGAAGCAGUGACCUGGAGAAUUGAGUAAUCCCUUCCAGGCCAGGGAAGACUUGGAGAAGUGGACAACUGGAGAUGCAGCUGCAAAACUGUGCUGGAGGGGGCUAAAAUGACCGUGGUUGAAGUGUAGGGAGUUGCCAAUGAUGUGGUGAGGAGGGUGCAGCCUUCCCAGCUCACUGCAGGAAUGGCUGAGGUGAAUCAAUGCCAGCACCAUGGAAUCCUCAUCCACCUCCUGAUGGCCAUACUGAGCACUCCAGGGAAGCAGUGGAAAGGAGUUGCACCCAUAUGAAACCUGUGUGCAACAUGCUUGUUCACAGGGGAGUAAGAAACUAACAAUAUACUGGAAAAAUGAGUGGGGCAAAAAAGAAAUUGAGAAUUGGAAGGAAGAAGCAAUUGAGAACAAAUCUGUUCCAAGUGAGUUGCUGACCUUUCAUUUGAUAGUAAACGCACUGAGCAAAUGGCCCAAUGCCUUGUGCUGAGCUGUGCCAGCUUGUCCUGGUCCAGGCCUGCCUGUGUGCUGGGUUCAGGGCCAGGCUGACUCCCUGCCAGCUUGGGGAGGCUCAGGAGCCCUGGGCUAGGGGCAGAUCCAGCAUUUCAGCCACAAAAUGGGAAUGAGAUGCACUGUGUGGGUGAUCCUCACCUUCACAUCAGCCUAUGAAUGCAUCAGGUGAGUCAUGGUGUGUCACAAAAGUGUGUCCUUGAAUACACUGGCAGGAUGAAUUUCUGCUGGACCCUCCAGGAACAGGCUGAAAACACUGUGGGAAAUGGUAAAUGGGGAUGGAAAGUGGCCAAAGGAGUGAGAGCUCCAUCCAACUGGAUAGCCUCAGCUCUCCAAACAAUCCAGCUCUGUGCAUGAAUGGAAGCAAGUGGUGCCCACCCCUUCCACUGAGGUUUCUUCUCAUAUUAGA